AUCACCUGGGGAUCUUGUUAAACUGUACAUUCUGAAUCAGUGGGUCUGGGGUGGUACCCAAGAUUCUGCAUUUCUAACAAUUUCCCAGGUGAUGCCAA
rnacentral:pre_miRNA from 1 species